UCCUUACUGCCCGUUUUCCCUAUAUAACUGCCUCAAGAUUCCGUAAUCCUGGAAGAUGGGUUUUUGAGACAUUAGUCACUCAUCUUCCGAUUAACCAGCUAAUCUAAUUAAGCUUCCUUUCUCGAUCUCUAACUUGUGAUUAAUUGGCUCAGAUCGCAGCGAACAGAGUGAGCCCUUCCUCAGUAUUAGCACUAUUGCGUUCUUUUCCUCCAACCGUUUGCAUCUGAAUAGACCUGACUGGACUCUGCAGGAGACCCCUGGCUGAUUUGCAAGGAAGAACGGGGCAGGGUCAAGAGAGCUCAUGACCUGAUGAUCUGAGGACCCAACCUGAGGAAAUAAGAGGACACUCAAAGGAACAGAUGAGUAAGAGCGCUCAGAACUUACCCAACUUCAAUGGCAAUUCCACUGAGGAGUAACCACAGUGUUGUUUUUUCAUAGAAACACCAAAUUUGGAAAUAAAACCCUGCUGGGUUUAUGUGGCACCUCAAUAUUCCACUGAUUUUUUUUCCAGAGGCCAGUGAGAAGGAGGAACCUUGUUCUUCCAGGCCUGGACAGCCAGCGCGUGACCGCAUUCAGCCCCUCCCACUCUUUGUGUCCCCCUGAUGGAGCUCUGAAUGCUCUGGGCUGGAGACCAUGGGACAGCACCUUUGAGAACCAUGUCACUGCUCUGACACACCUGCUGAGAUUCAGAAGGGUGGGGAGCAGGGGAGAGGCCCACUCUGCCUGUCCCCCAGGUGAUGGGUGAAUGUGCAAUUCCUCCAACACUGGGUGGGAAUGACUAACAGAGGAGUCCAGGCAGCUGCAGGGGGAAUCAGUUUAGCAGCUUUCUGUUGUCGACUCCACGACUUCCACAGUGAUGUCACACUCGGGUACAUCAGUGCUGUCCUACUCCAGCAGCCACGCGGCAGGGAGCCAUGGCCAGCAUGGUGCUGAGGCCAGCGGGAGACGGAGGAGGGAACGGCAUCUCUCCUGGGACUUCCCCUCUCUGGCUUUGCUGAACCCUGAGUGGACUCUCCUGGACCCCGAGUGGACUCUCUUGGACCCUGAGUGGACUCUUCCUGGCUCAUGCCUCAGAGCUCAUGGAUGCAGUCCCCAUGGGGAUCACAUGCCACCUGACAGUGACAAACGCCAGCUGGAUUCUACCACCAUCACCAUUUGGAGAAGAAAUCCAGGGACUGCUCAACCUCUGUAGACCAAGGAGCUAAUUGGGAGAGAAGACUGCAUCAGUCAUUGGUGCAAGGUCAUUGGAGAAGUUUUGUUGAUGGCGCCUUCUGGCCAGUGAACUUUAGCACAUGUUACCCACCUGUCCCCACCUGUUCCUUGAAGCUUCUUAGUGAGACCUGUCAAUGCACUAAGUGACAGUUGAGCCUGUGAGAAGAAAUUCCAGCUUAGAAAUACCAGUGUUUACAAGGAAGGAGAAUGAAUAUAUGUUCAAAAGUACGUCUCUAGCAUUUUGUAGAAUUGUUGCUCUUUUGAAUUUCAUUGGAAUUAAUUCAUGCAGAUGUGUACCUGGGGUUGUGCUUUUCCUGGUUAAAGAAUUCUUUCCCCCCCAUCAAUGGCUGGAGAAGUUGCUCACUGCUUACGACCAAGGGCAAUCCUUCAUUAACCUCUCCUGCACAGAUCAAGAGAGUUAAACUUAGAAUAAAGAACACAGUUUUUGAUCUGACAGGGCUGAGACAUCACAAAGACAGGCACUGAAGCUCAUCAACCCAAGCCCAACUAAAAACAACCUGGAACCCUGCAUGCCCUGCUUGCAUGCUGUUUUUGAGAUUGAAAUGGAAAUUAUUGAGAGUUUAUGCAAUCAACCCAUCCUUGAAUUCCUGAUUAAGACAAAACUGUGAAAUAUCCAGCAGAAGAGAUCUGGGGAGAGGUAAAGAGCUCAGAAUUAGUAGUCAGCAAGGUCCACUGGGACAGCCCAAAGAGUACAGGACUGGAGAGUGCAUAAUGAAGUAGAGCAUGUGGUUUAAACUCCAGGUCGGUCUCCAUGCUGUGUGGACCUCAGAACACUACCUAACCUCGCAGAGGCUAUGCACUGAUAUGGUUCUCUAAAAAUGUGCCCAGUCUUGGUGAAAGCAUUUUUAAAAAUCCAUAUUUCACCAAAUAAUGUUUGGAUUUUUUUUAAGUCCUUGUAAUAACUAAUUCUUUGAAGACAGUUUUUUCAUAAGUUUCAUGGAGGAAGUUAUUUAAUGUUUUUAAGUUAUAGAGACAAACUGUCAAAGCAGCUGUUGUAAAAUAAAAUAAUCUCAUGAGCUGCUGUUUACGAUCAUCUAUCUACUACAAUAAUAAGACUUAUAGCUGGCCAUCAACCUUCCCUGGUCCGUGUGCCUGUUCGAGUGCCCCCUGCUUUGUUGAGAUGAGCUUGGUACCUAGAGACACAGAACCAAGACAGAACCAGAACUGGCUCCCAGCAGCACUGAGUGGGGUGGCCUAGGGGGCAUCCCCAUAGAACUGCUUCCUGGUCCAGCAACUACAGACAUCAGCUGACCAAUAUUAAGUCCCCAGUGUGUGCCAGGCCCUGUACUGACUGUUUUCUCAUGAAGAAAAACAAUGAAUCCUCAGAACUCCCAGGGAGGCCGGCACUAUUAUUAUCCUCAUUUUACAGAUGAGGAACUGGAAGCACAGAAAGACUAAGUACUUUUUCCAAAGUCAGCCCUUGGAGGGAACCAGAGAGAUGUGCCUGGUUGACCACAGCCCAUGCACCCAACCAUGUCGCUUGAUACACAAAACCCACAAGCAGAACCAAGAUGGACCCAGACAUUAGCAUGAAAAGCUGAAAGAGGAAGACCCAGCCUCAGCCCUGGCGAGGGCACUACCAUGCCCACAGCUACCCUGCUCCAUCCCCCAUCCCUGGCCUGGACUUGGCCAUGGGCCCCUUGUCAGGUCCCCUUGCUCCAUCUGUAUUGUCGACCCCAAGUGUCUCCUCAAUGCAUUGAACUCAACUUUCCCAGUUCAAGAUUUUUUGAUGGUUCUUUGGACACAGAGGGUGAUUUUAGUUAAAUGAUGUUCAUAAUUAGUUGUUCCCACGAACUCAGUCAUGAGUUUCAGCAUUUGCCAAUUGCUGAGUUAUUCACAGCUGAAAAUUGGCCUGUGCACAUGUACAACAGCAGCCUUUGAAGGACUUCUGGGUCCCACUCACUUUGUUUGAAAAGUGUAUUAACUUCUGCCCUCGCCAGCAGCUGGGAAAAAUGACGAUCCUAGUUUUGCAAGUGACUAUGAUGAAUCAUGGCUCCAGCUCUCUCAGUGGCAGAUGCCAACUACUCUUAACCAGCAAUGGGGGUAGGGCGGGGGAUCCAGCCGUGAAAUCUUCCACUGUCCAUCCCCACAUGCAUCUGUGGACAUUUCUGGUUUAUGUUUCCAGUGGGUUUUAUUAAGGAUGAAUCUCGAUGGCUCCACAGUCAGCUAAUAUGGUCACAACUCAUUUAAAGAAAAAAAAAUGGAGGCAGAGAGAAAAUCAAGGAGUCCACAAAGCUGACAAGGGGCAGAGGCAAAGGGACAGGCAGGCCCUACAUACCUGCCUGGCCAAGGCUUUGGGUUCAGACAAACCAUGAGAAGCCCACACUCCUAAAAAUGGCUCUGAGGACAGCUCCAAGCCAUAAGCCUUGUGAGAGUCAGUCAUCCUUCCGAGAUCUGAGAGGUGAUGCUGUGGGUGUUAACAUGAGCAACUAGCAAGAGAUCUGCUCGGAGAAUGUUUCUCCAAACAGUCAACUGGAGCUUUGGGUCUCUGAUUUGUAGGGAGCUGGGCAGGGUCAAGUGGUGCUGAAGAAAGAGAAGGAGAGGUUGUUUUUCAGGCAAAAGAGUUCAUGAAGUCACAAUGGCCUGGCUCAUGAUCUGGCUGGUGAUUGUCCAAAGUGUGAGAAGUCCCAGAGGAAAUAAAAAUGGAAAAAUUAAGAUAAAUAAGAGUAGAAAAAUGAACUCUAAAACUUGUGAUACAACCAACAAGUCACUGGAUGAUUUGGUUUGUGCCUGAAAUGUUUCAUGAAAUACUUCAUUAAUACGAAAUAAUGUCUCUAAUCUCUAUGUUGGUUGUAAAACAAAAUUAUAAAAGGAACAUCUGAGAACCAUCACUCAACUCAAGAACCAGACCAGCACUUUUGAAAUGACCUAGAUGUUUCCUUGAUGGGUUGGCCUGUAAUAAGCAAAACCUUAAACUUGUGUUUAUCAUUGCAGCUUGUUAAAAUGGUUUAUGUACAUAUCUUUAUGCAAUACGUUGUUUAGUUUUGCUUGUUUUUAAGCUUUAUAAAAGUGGUACCACAGUGAAUACGCAACCUUCUUCAUCUUGCUUUUUGCACUCAGAAUUUUUUCCAAGAUUGAUCUAGUUUGUUGCAUGUUGCUAAAGUUUGUUCAUAGUCCUUGGUACUUCAUAUUCCCUUGUGUGUGUAGGUAACACAUUUAUUCAUCUAGUCCUGACAAUGAACAUUUGGCCUGUUUCCAGUUUUUCGCUUUUAAGAAUAACACUGUUAAGGAUGUGGUUGUACCUGUUUUCCAGUGCACAUACACAAAUUUUCCCUAGGGUACACGCACACCCCUAGGAGUGGAAUUGCUGGGUUCGAGAGUAUGUUUGUUAUGUCCUCAACUUUACAAGAUAAUGCCAAAUUAUUCCUCAAUGUAACUGUAGCAAUUUACACUUUUAACUAUACAGUAUUUAAACCUUCCCACGCUCUUCAUAUGUUCAGAUGUAUUGAUUUUUGUUAAUACAGUUGAGUCAAAGUAUAUCUCAUAUGUUUUUAGUUUACAUUUCUCUAAUUAUAAAAGAUAUUGACCAUAUUUUAUAUGCUUAUUUACCAUUCAUAUUUCUUCUUCCAUGAAAUACCCAUCACAGCCUAUCUCUCUUUUUUGAUCACAUUAUUUGUCUUUUUCUUGUCCCCUUGAAGGAAUUUUUAAUAUAUAACGAGUAAUAAUAAUUUGCUGCUUAUAUGUGCUAAAAAUAUCUUCCAAAUUGGGGCAUGUUCAUUUUCCUUUUGCUGUAUUUUGAUAUACAGAAAUCCUUCAUCUCAAUGCAGUUGAUUAUGUCAAUCUUUUCUUUUAUAGUUAAUGCUUAGUGUACUUUGUUUAAAUAAAACUUCUCUACCUCCAAAGUCUUAAAGAUUUUCCCCAGUAUUUUCUUCUUAAGGUUUGAAUCUUUUGCCUUUCAUAAUGAAGUCUUUAAAUCCAUCUGGAAUUGAUGUUUGUGUAUGGUGUGAGGUUGGGAUCUAAUUUCAUUUUUUCUCGUAUAGAUAACGAAUGGCCCCAACAGCAUUUAUGGAAUAGUUCUGCCUUUUCUAGUAAUCUACACUGACACCUCUAUCAUAUUGCAAGUUCAAAAAAGAUGUGGAACUACUUUGGGUUCUCUGUUCUGUUCCAAGGGUCAGUACGUCUUCACUGAGCCAAUACCACAGUGUUUUAGUUACCCUAAAUUUAAAAGAAAUAUAGACACCUGUUUGGACAAGUUUUUUUUAACCUUAUUUUUCCCCUUUAUGACUAUUCUGGAGCCUUUGUCUUCCAUUUAAGUGGUAGAGAAACACUGUUGUGUUCCAUGAAAAACUGGUUGGGAAUUUAAGGCAAUUGACUUUACUGGAUAGCCUUUUAAACCAACGACAUGUUCUCUCUCCUUUUAUUUAGAUCUUUGAUGUCUUUUAGUAGCACUUAAAAUGUUUCUUCAUGCAGGUCUUGCACAUCUUUUGUUAGAUAUAUUUCUAUCUCAUUUUUGGGGCAUGUGUGUACCACUGCAAAUAGUAGCUGGUUUAUUUUUAUUAUAUUUUAUAAAUUGCUGCUGACAUAAAGAAAUGCAAUUGAUUUUUUAUAUUGAUCCUAAAUCCAGUCAGCUUGCAAAAACGCUCUUAAUUUUAAUGAAUUUUCUAUAAUUUUUUGAGGUUUUUGACUGAACUAUAUCACCUAACAGUAAUGAUAGUUCUGUUUUUUUCCUUCCUAUCCUCAGUACUUUUUUGUUUUCUUACUGUGCUCACUAGGACUUCUACUAUCAUAGAAACAGUGAUCGUGGUAUCUUCCUUGUUCCUGAAUUUAAAAUUAAUACCUCUAGCAUUCACCAUUGAGAAUGAUAUUGGCUAUCAUUUUGGUAGACACCAUACAUCAAUCAUUAAGGAAGUUCCCUCCCAUUCCUAUUUUACUACAAACGUUUUUUUUUUUACUUUUAUCAAAUGCUGUGUAUCCAUCUACUAAGAGGCAAAAGGUACUGUGUCACAUCUAUAGAUAGAUUUUU